UGAUGGUGUCUUAGUUGCUUUC
rnacentral:miRNA from 1 species